UUCUUUCUCUCUUUCUCGAUGUAUUUCCUUUUUCUUUCUCUCUUUUUUAUCUUCUUUUCUUUCUGAUACUCUCGUUCUUCUUCUUCUUGGUAUUUUAAUUUUUGUUAAAUCUAAACUAUUAUAUGUAUUUUCUUGUUUGCAAAACCCAUAAAUGAAUGUGCCCAAUUACCAGUAUAUGAGAACUAAGUAUAUUCCCUUCAUUUAAAUACAAAUGCAUAAACAAACAUUAUUAGCAAGGCAUACUUACAAUUUUAUAGCUUCGACAAACUUUUCAUGCUCCUGCUCCGUCCAGGUCUGCCUCGGCUUGGUAAUCGUAUAGGUUUUUCGGAUCUUCUUAUUCGGAGGGACCUCGAGCGAUGUCGUAUUAGCAGUAGCAGCAGCAGCCGCAGUGGACGACGGUGUGGAAUUCGCCGGCGGUGGCAUCGAAUUGAUCCCGGGCAGGCCCGUAUACAUAUUCAGCGGUUCUGGUUCAGGUUCCGGGUAGCAAAAUCCUUGAGGUGGGUUUCGAUUUUCAGACUCCAUAGGCUCUACUCAAUAACUCAGAACCAAAACACAUCACAAAAAAAAUGUAUUGAUGUAUUGUUUUCCUCAAAUAUGUGCUUCGGAGUGUUCUUUUAUACUUUGAAAAUUAGUUUCAGCACUAGUUUCGGAAUGGUCGUUUUAUUUUUUAAAAAUCUGUUAAAAUCUUUUGUUUUCCUCAAAUAUGUGUUUCGGAGUGUUCUUUUAUACUUUGAAAGUUAAAUUAAUUCAAAACUUGUAUUUAUUUUUUAAAAUAUUUGUUUUGGAAUGGUCGUUUUAUUUUUUUAAAAUAGGUUGAAAACUUGCGGCAAAAUUCGAUUAGUCCUCUUGGUAUUGAUUAUUUUGUUUACAUUUUUCAAUUUCUUAAUCUGUUGGAAUUUUUUUUAAUCUGAAUAACAUUUGGUUCUUCUCUUCUGACUCUACAAGUGAAGAUAGAGCAGAAGAGGUAAUCAAUCUAACCAUGUCCAUGCAGCAGUGGUGAGUUGUGAAUCUGUAAGCUGGUAGUCAUGGAUGUUUCUUUUUGUUUCAAAUGUUUAUUGAAAUAUUCUGCAAAUUUGGUUUGUUGUGUUGAGUUGAAAGUAUUUGGAAGUGAAUUGAUAUAGGCCUUAGACUUGUAAGGAGUUGUAUAUUAGAUUAGAUGAUUGAUUCGAAUGCAAAUAUGUAUGUAAUCAAGGAUAUUGAUUCCAUGGAAAGGCCUCCAUGAGGGUAGAUUGAGUAUAAGCAAUCGUGGCUCAAUUGAUAAUCAUCAUCUACUCUAGAUGUUUCAGAUAAAUCAUUUGGCACAGAUAGCAUACGAGCCUGUACAGCUUAAUGCUGAGAAGGUAACUGUGCCUUCAAUUUUGGGCGAGUCUACUUGUUCAAUCCUGCAUAAGCUUUUCGGCAGUGCAUUAACACUUAACCUUAAGUGUUGCUGGCACUGGCACUGGCACUGGCUCUGGCUCUUCUACUUCCCUUCCCUUGAGCAUCAUGAUAAUUGAGUAGAUGAGACAGAGAGCCCAGACUCUGUACAAUCUUUCAAGUUUGCUCAUUGGUUUCAUGAAGAAGGUUAGUUGCUCUUGAAACACUAUUUGCCUUAUUUGGGUCUGCUUUUAUGAAGGAGUUGCAAUCAAAUGACAUAGGAUUAUUGACUUUAGAUUACUUUAUUUCCCUUGUAUUUUCCAUGUACUUCAAUUAGUUUUAGUUUGGUUGUUUAGUUUGAUCAUCAUUAGCUAUAAAUGUAGCUAUUGUACCUUGGACUAUUUCAUUCACUUUUGAUUAAUACACAAAGUUUUCUCUCAAA